AGCGAACGCAGGCGGCAGGCCUAACACGUGCAAGUCGAACGGAUCCUUCGGGAUUAGUGGCGGACGGGUGAGUAACACGUGGGAACGUGCCCUUUGGUUCGGAACAACUCAGGGAAACUUGAGCUAAUACCGGAUGUGCCCUUCGGGGGAAAGAUUUAUCGCCAUUGGAGCGGCCCGCGUCUGAUUAGCUAGUUGGUGAGGUAAAGGCUCACCAAGGCGACGAUCAGUAGCUGGUCUGAGAGGAUGAUCAGCCACAUUGGGACUGAGACACGGCCCAAACUCCUACGGGAGGCAGCAGUGGGGAAUCUUGCGCAAUGGGCGAAAGCCUGACGCAGCCAUGCCGCGUGAAUGAUGAAGGUCUUAGGAUUGUAAAAUUCUUUCACCGGGGACGAUAAUGACGGUACCCGGAGAAGAAGCCCCGGCUAACUUCGUGCCAGCAGCCGCAGUAAUAC
rnacentral:rRNA from 1 species